CCUAUAAUUGAACAUACCGAGAAAAAUUACAGAGUUAAUUUGAAGACUUUCAAAACAGGUUUAAAGAACAGUAUCCAAAAGAAAAAUGUUCUUACCAUUUUCAAGAUCGAUUAAAUGUCUACCAACUUUUAGUAUUUCUAGUAAUGCUGGUGGAGCUUGAUACACAUUUUGGUUAAUGGCUUGGCUAUGUCCCAUAUGUUGGUAAAAAAGCUCUCUUUCUUGUGGUGGUAAAUUCAACAUUGCAAAUAGAGUGCUUACUCUGCGACGAUUAGAUGUUGCAUGGAUUAAGAAAGACCGGGCGUCAACAUUUGCUAACACAAGUCAAUUUGAGGCAAUCAAACCGGAAUGAAUCAAAACACAACAACAAAAAGAAUUCGGAGAUAAAUAAACUUAGACAAACUUAGAGAAAAUCUACAACAUAAAUAUACUAAAUUUUUAAAAUAUCUGCUGAAAAUUGAUAUUUGACUGAUUGCCGUGUUACUAUUUAAGAGAUUGUGAUACUAGUCUUUUUUAGCAAUAUGCGUUAUUAGAUUUAUUCAUAAAUAUUACAUAUCAUCAUUACGCGUUAUAAAUGCGUUGAAAAAAAUCAGAAGAAAUGCCUCACCGGCAAACAAGUUGUCAUUUUUAUAUAAUACAUGAAAAACCUGUCAGCAAAUUUAUGUCUUUAAUUUUUAGCAGAAUUA